CAGCCCCACACCACACCCCGAACUGCAUGACCAAGGAAAAAAAACCUCCUCCACCUUAUCUCUGCCCCGGGCCGCAUGAACCACCAACUCCUUUCCUCCCUUCCUCUCCAUCGCCACAACUAUGCGCCUCGCCGUUGUAGCCCACCUCCCACCUCCCCGGCGCGCUCCCCCCACCUCCCCUGGUGUUAACCGCGCUGGCCACCACCCGCGCCGGCACGCCACCACCGGCGCCUUCUUCCCGCGUGCUGCCAGCGGCAUGGAGGCGCGCCGCCGGAGCACCUAGGCCCCGGCAUCGAAUCCGGGCAGCAGCGCGCCGCCGCGCCUCUGUUUCCUCUAUCUACAUGGCCUCCCGCGUACAAGCUCUCGACCAGGAUCCCGCGCUCACCGCCGGCGAACACACCUCCAGUCCACCCUGCCAACCAGCGCUGAUCUCCUGCAACCCCGCCCUGCCCGCGACCUUCCUCCCCUUGCCGGCGAGCCUCCCUCCCUCGGCUACCUCCUAGCAUGAGCUAACGCCGGAUCCAGGCCGCACCUGGGAUCCACUUUGUCCCCACACUCCACUGCGUGGCCCCAGCAGCGCCGCUCGAACAUGCCCCGCACUCCACUGCGCGGCCCCAGGUGCACCGACCGAGCGACGGAUUCGGCCCCGCCACGGCGCCUAGGCGACGGAUCCCUCUUGGAUCACGUCGGAUCAAGGAACUGCUGCUCCAGUGUCUUGUGGGCGAGAAGGCGCACAGAAGGGGUCGGGGCUAACGUCCCUCACCUCUCUUGCAGUCCACCGUCGUCGUCAAACAGGUGCGAUUACCUGAUGUGUCGAGCGAGGGGACACCCCUGGCCUCCUCCUUUCCUUGUCAUCGCACGCGCAUGCCACAGCCACACCAGCCCGGGAUCCCCCCUCCUAUCCUCUCCCUGUUGUUCUCCGAUGAGGGCGAGUAGCUGAGCCUACCUGACGUAGGUCGAUUGGGUCAUCCUCUCUGGCUUGAGCAGCCCAAUGCCAUUGUUGGAGCAUUACACAGCAGCAGGUGUGUGCAGCCACCAUCGACUUCCCGCGGGGAAGAGAUCCCUCGGCCAUGCCACAUCCGCCCCUGGGAUUCAGUUUGCCAGAGCACCCCUCGCAGCUCUCUCUUCGCCGGAGAACUAUGGCAGUGUGCCGGCUUGCAGUUCGGUCAUGAGUUCAGUGCAGCACAGACGGCGAUGCCAUUGCAAUUCAGAAGCUUGUGUGCAGUCUGGUGACCACGGACGUGCGGCUCACUAGCAUUAGAUGCACUUCAGUGCUCCUGUGGGUGCAGUUCAUGAGCGCGCCGGCGAUGACGGCAGCAAUGCAGUGCACUCCGGUAGUUGCUGUGGUGCACUCUGGUGGUCGUUGUGGUAUAGCUCAGUGGCUGGCCAGGUGAGGUUUUCUUUUCCUCUGCGUGUGGUUAAUCUGAGCACCAGCUUCAUCGCCUCAGUGCUUUUGUAGUGUGUUCCAUUUUUUUUUGCAGUUCCCUGGUCAUGCAGCUUGGUGACGUGCCAGGUGCAGUCAGCUGAGCGACACUCUUCUCCAAGCAAGAAGAGGAGGGCGAUCUUGGUUCCCUGUCCCAGUGCAGUAAAGGCGAUGCGCCUGUGCGGUGCGGAGCACAUGUGCAAUUCCGUCGGCCAUGCGUGUAGUACAGGUCGCAUAGUGGUGUAGUUCGCCGCUGAACCCGUGUUGUAGUUUUAUGGCACCCUGCGUGUGUGUGAUGCAGUUUGGCGUCUCCCUCGGGUGGACGCAUAGCUGCACUCCAGAUCGCCCAGUACUGCAACUCCUUCCUUCCUUUUACUUAUUUUUUCUAGGAAAGGAAGUGGUGCAGUUCGGUUGGAUGUCCCGUUGGUGUUUGACCUUGUGCCAUUUCAGAUCAUAUUGUGCAGUGCGACAUGAGUUUCUCUGCUUGGGGUGCUCCGGGUACUUCAGUUGGGAUACUCGGAGAUAAAAAUUUAUGUGUACAGUAUAUAGUUGUAUGGCUGUGUAAAAAAAUAUGAAUUUGUGUGUUGAGCAUUCUGAAGCGCUGAUGUUAUAUUUUUACUUUGAGAAAA